CAGGGAGGGUAGGGAAGGUUUUAA
rnacentral:piRNA from 1 species